CCUACGGAGCACGAUGCAGCGCUGCGGUGACCCCGCCCCAUGCUGCCCCUAUUGCCUGGCUCCUCGGUUUUAAACUCUGCUGCUCCAGAUGCACGGACCAGAAACCACCCUGGUGCCUUUACAGCAGGCUCUGUGUCUUUCAUUGCCCCCUUGGUACAAAAGAAGUCCAAGGUGAAUAGGCUGUAAAGAAAGCAACUUGAACAAAUCAAGCCAUUAAAUCAAGCAAUGAAAAUCUAAAAGGUCUCUGGCUCCAUCGAGGAUGAUAACCAGAAGUCUGCUUGCGUGUGUGCUCAAUGAUGUGGGCCCAAUGACCACAGCAGACCCCGAGAAGGCCCACAAAGACCACAAACCAGAUAAGGAUCGAAGAUUCUAGAUUUCACAUUGGCCUUUACAGUCUGCUUGACGCCAGCAAGUGUAACUGGAUCCCAAGCCCAGAGAGCCAGGAAUUGCUGCACUGAUCAGCAUGCUGCCAAGGGCACACAACUUGGCACUGGCCAAAACCAAAGAGUCUGAAUCCUCUAUUUCUCUUACAUCAGAGCCUGGAAAGGGAUCAGGAGAAGUUCAUCAAAAGGCAUUGAGGACGAGCUGGGAAGGGUUAGUGAUGUGUAAAUAGAAAUGAAAGAAGCAAACUGUUUUAGAUUUCUGUGAUCAAAACUAAGCCCAACAGUAUUUUUACCGAAAACAGAAGCGAUUUCAUCUUCUGGUAAUGUAACAGAAUAGAUAUGCACCACAUAGAGCUCUUUUUUUUAAAGGCUUGUAUCAAUAAGGUUAACAUUGCCCAUACUGGGUGGGUAUUUACUGGCUAUUUUAAUAAAUUACUAGAAUUGGUAAAGCUGACUUUCUAGAAGACUAUAAUAAAUCAGAAACUCCUUUAUCAUCUCCAGCAGUGAGCCUAUAGAGCUAACCUGCUUGCUUGCCUAUACAUAUCGAUUUAUUAUUUCCUUAUGGUUUUGAUUAUGUUUAUUAUAAUAAGUAGGUUUAUAUUAGCAGUUUGACAAUAUUGCAAGGAACUUACAGGCCUGUAUGUUGAUCUAAGGCAAAGCUAGCAUGCACAUGCCUGGGACCUUUCACCCAGAUAGCACAGUCAGGAUAUAUAUAUACAGCAUAUAUUCAGGAUUUUUCACUUAGAUAAAGCAACCUUCAAUGGCAUAGGGGCUUCCAGGUAUACCCUCAAACUUAGCAGGUACAUCAUUACUUAGAAAAACCCAAAAUAACCGGUUAAGACCAGACCAAAUAACCAGGUAGGACAGAAAUAACAAAUGUGAUAGACAACCACAAAAGGCUCAUUCAUGGUAAUGCAUUGACAUAUAUGACAGUAAGUUGAAAUCAGUGAUAUACUGGCUGAUAAGAAAAAGAAAUGUCCACAUUAGUAAGAUGAGGAAAUACAAAUAAGGAGAAAAAGAAACAUCCCCAUCUGAAUAUGUAUCGAACAUAAAAACGUCAGCGUGACAUAUA